GGACUACACGGGUAUCUAAUCCUGUUUGCUACCCACGCUUUCGUGCCUCAGCGUCAGUGAUGGUCCAGUAAGCCGUCUACACCACAGGUGUUCCUCCUGAUAUCUACGCAUUUCACCGCUACACCAGGAAUUCCGCUUACCUCUCCCAUACUCGAGUUCUCCAGUCUUCGGCGCACCCUCCCGGUUGAGCCGGGAGAUUUCACACCAAACUUAGAGAACCGCCUACGCACUCUUUACGCCCAGUAACUCCGAACAACGCUUGCUGCCUACGUAUUACCGCGGCUGCUGGCAC
rnacentral:rRNA from 1 species